UACGUAGGGUGCAAGCGUUGUCCGGAAUUAUUGGGCGUAAAGAGCGCGCAGGCGGUCGUUCAAGUCGUGUGUGAAAGCCCCCGGCUCAACUGGGGAGGGUCACGCGAUACUGAUCGACUCGAAGGCAGGAGAGGGAAGUGGAAUUCCCGGUGUAGUGGUGAAAUGCGUAGAGAUCGGGAGGAACACCAGUAGCGAAGGCGGCACUCUGGGCCGGUACUGACGCUGAGGAGCGAAAGCGUGGGGAGCGAACAGG
rnacentral:rRNA from 1 species